UACGUGGGGGGCUAGCGUUGUCCGGAAUCAUUGGGCGUAAAGAGCGUGUAGGCGGCCCGGUAAGUCCGCUGUGAAAGUCCAGGGCUCAACCCUGGGAUGCCGGUGGAUACUGUCGGGCUCGAGUCCGGAAGAGGAGUGUGGAAUUCCUGGUGUAGCGGUGAAAUGCGCAGAUAUCAGGAGGAACACCAAUGGCGAAGGCAGCACUCUGGGACGUGACUGACGCUGAGACGCGAAAGCGUGGGGAGCAAACAGG
rnacentral:rRNA from 1 species